UACGUAGGGUGCGAGCGUUGUCCGGAAUUAUUGGGCGUAAAGGGCUCGUAGGCGGUCUGUUGCGUCAGGAGUGAAAACUCGGGGCUUAACCCCGAGCCUGCUUCUGAUACGGGCAGACUAGAGGUAUGCAGGGGAGAAUGGAAUUCCUGGUGUAGCGGUGAAAUGCGUAGAUAUCACUUGGAACGCCAAUGGUGAAAACAGCUCGCUGGGAAUGAUCUGACACUGAGACGCGAAAGCCAGGGGAGCGAACGGG
rnacentral:rRNA from 1 species